rnacentral:rRNA from 1 species
CGAGAAGCUGAUUGCAGCACUCCGCGUGAAUGAGAAGGUUCUUCGGAUCUGUAAAACUACUGUUUGUGAGGGAGGAACAGGUACCGAGAGUAACUGCCGGUACCUUGACGGUACCUCAUUAAAAAGCCCCGGCUAACUACGUGCCAGCAGCCGCGGUAAUA